GACGAACGCUGGCGGCGUGCUUAACACAUGCAAGUCGAACGAUGAUCAGGAGCUUGCUCCUGUGAUUAGUGGGGAACGGGUGAGUAACACGUGAGUAACCUGCCCCUGACUCUGGGAUAAGCGUUGGAAACGACGUCUAAUACUGGAUACGACUGCCGGCCGCAUGGUCUGGUGGUGGAAAGAUUUUUUGGUUGGGGAUGGACUCGCGGCCUAUCAGCUUGUUGGUGAGGUAAUGGCUCACCAAGGCGACGACGGGUAGCCGGCCUGAGAGGGUGACCGGCCACACUGGGACUGGGACACGGCCCAGACUCCUACGGGAGGCAGCAGUGGGGAAUAUUGCACAAUGGGCGAAAGCCUGAUGCAGCAACGCCGCGUGAGGGAUGACGGCCUUCGGGUUGUAAACCUCUUUUAGUAGGGAAGAAGCGUAAGUGACGGUACCUGCAGAAAAAGCACCGGCUAACUACGUGCCAGCCGCCGCCGUAA
rnacentral:rRNA from 1 species